rnacentral:rRNA from 1 species
UGCAAGUCGAACGAAAAGACGGAAAGAGCUUGCUCUUUUCAGAAUUGAGUGCAAACGGGUGAGUAACACGUAAACAACCUGCUUCAGGAUGGGACAACAGACGGAAACGACUGCUAAUACCGAAUAAGUUCCAAGAGCCGCAUGGCCCAUGGAAGAAAAGGUGGCCUCUACCUGUAAGCUAUCGCCUGAAGAGGGGUUUGCGUCUGAUUAGCUGGUUGGAGGGGUAACGGCCCACCAAGGCGACGAUCAGUAGCCGGUCUGAGAGGAUGAACGGCCACACUGGAACUGAGACACGGUCCAGACUCCUAGGGAGGCAGCAGUGGGGAAUCUUCCGCAAUGGGCGAAAGCCUGACGGAGCAACGCCGCGUGAGUGAUGACGGCUUCGGGUUGUAAAACUCUGUGAUCCGGGACGAAAAGGCAGAGUGCGAAGAACAAACUGCAUUGACGGUACCGGAAAAGCAGCC